rnacentral:rRNA from 1 species
AUGAACGCUGGCGGCGUGUCUAAGGCAUGCAAGUCGAGUGGGUUUAGACCCACGGCAAACGGGAGAGUAACGCAUUGGUAAUCUACCCUGAGGACGAGAAUAACUCGGAGAAAUCCGAGAUAAUACUCGAUAACAGUGGGGGGUCUAAAGACAAUCCCACUUAAAGCUCCGGCGCCUCGGGAGGAGCCUAUGGCCUAUCAGCUUGUUGGUGAGGGUAAAAGCCCACCAAGGCUAUGACGGGUACCGGGUGUGAGAGCAUGACCCGGCUCACUGGGACUGAGACACUGCCCAGACUCCUACGGGAGGCUGCAGUCAAGAAUCUUCCUCAAUGGCCGAAAGGCUGAAGGAGCGACGCCGCGUGCAGGAAGACGCCCCUCGGGGUGUAAACUGCUUUUAUGUGGGACGAAACAAUGACGGUACCACAAGAAUAAGGGGCUGCUAACUUCGU